rnacentral:rRNA from 1 species
UACAUAGGUCCCAAGCGUUGUUCGGAUUCACUGGGCGUAAAGGGUGCGUAGGCGGCGCGGUAAGUCGGGUGUGAAAUCUCGGAGCUUAACUCUGAAACUGCAUUCGAUACUGCCGUGCUUGAGGACUGGAGAGGAGACUGGAAUUUACGGUGUAGCGGUGAAAUGCGUAGAUAUCGUAAGGAAGACCAGUGGCGAAGGCGGGUCUCUGGACAGUUCCUGACGCUGAGGCACGAAGGCCAGGGGAGCAAACGGG